GACCUGGUAGCACAACGGUUAGUGCGUCUACUGUAGCUACCGGCUUGUAGAAGACGUUUCGGCAGAGGGUCCCCGUUCGACUCGGGGUCAGGUCG